UCUUUUAACGUUAAAAGUUAACUCAAAUUUGUAUGGAGUUGGAACGUUUACCUACGUUUGCCGCUAGGGGCGCUGUGCCAACUCCAUAAAAAUUUAAGUUACUUUUACGCGAUCGA
rnacentral:pre_miRNA from 9 species